CCCAUCUCUCCUUAAUCACAUUGAUUCUAAACGCGUUUUACAUCCUCUGCCGUUUCAACCUUCAAUGGCGUUUACAGCUGUUUCAAUCGUGGCAUUCCCAUUUCGCAAUAUCAUCCUUACCAAGACUCAAACCCACACAAAAACCUGCUCCUCCAUGGUAUCAUCGUUCUCUCUGCUUCGUCGUUCCCUUAUUGAUCUAUUCAUACUCUUGCAUAUGGGAGCAACCUUCAAAGCCGGUGAUGGACGAGCUGCUUGCAAGGCUACCGAAGAGGUUCCAUCCGGGAGCAACCUAACGCGUACUCUCUCUCUCCCAAUCUCAGCGCAUUCUAUAUAGCACAUCCUCUCAUCGAUCCCUUCCUCUCUUCCCCUUCAAUCGAAUCCCUCAUGGCCCCUUCCAAUUCCCCUUGAAUCGCAUCUAUCUUCCCCUCUCGGUUCCUGUUUCGAAUCUGUGUAACUGAGAUGUUUAUGGGUGGCAUAGAAUUGAUGAAUUCGACUUUGUGUAAAUCGCCCUUCCCGGCUUCAUUCCUCUCAACGCCACGACGUCGACACCGCAGGCCGAUUCUCUACAUCAGAUACAAUACCUGAUGUUUCGUAGAAACCCUAAAUCAGAUUCAGGCAGAUGCUCUACAUUAUAUCCUCCAUCAAGACAUAAGCUUGAGGAUUCCCCCAAAUUUUAUUUUCACCAUUAUGCCUUAAGUGAUAUCAAAAAUUGCAGCAAGUUGCUUUGGGGCUAUUGAUAAAGAAUGCAGCUGACAGGAUUGUGGUGAUGGAUAGAGGUCAUGUUGUUGAGGAGGUUUGCUGCACAAAUUGCUAGCAGCACUUAGCAAUCUCAAGCUGAGGAAACCAAGAAGUCAAACUUGACAGUUGCAAAUUCGAAUGGAUUUGGGGAGUGUAUGUUUGUUGAUGAUGAACUCAAGGCAGAAGAUCAGCCAGUGCCUAUGUCUCUGGAGCAAACAGUGCAUAGUGAAUCUGAUCAAAUGGAGGAAGUGGAGAUGGAGGAUAUUAUUGUAGUCUGUAGAAGAGCCUAUUGUGGACAUCGAUGCCGGAGAUGCGAAUAAUACCCUUGCAGUUACUGAUUAUAUUGAAGGUCUUUAUUCCUACUACAGAAAAAUUGAGAGUACUGGCUGUGUCUCACCAAAUUAUAUGACACAACAAUGUGAUAUUAAUGAAAGGAUGAGGGCAAUACUGAUUGACUGGCUUAUUGAGGAUGAUUUGGCUGUGUGAAGUAGGACCAAAAGCUACUUUAAAGUAGGAUUAAAAUCAACAUGGAGCUGAGGAAUAUAGAUAGUUCUUGAUAUCCAGUCUGCUAUUCCGUAGUGUCGCAGAUGCAGGCCCGUAAGCAGGAGGAGAGGAAAUGAAAUCUGAACAGCUAAGUCAACUUUCUGGUGCUGAUAAUGAUCUUGGACUUCAAUGGAGCCAAAACUUUUCUCAGUCGUAAUAUUUUGUGCAUCUUCAGGCAUUGCCGAUUAAGAGGAGCCAAAACUCCAAUUUUGUGGUUGCCAUCCUUCCCAUCAGGAUUUUGAUUUGGGGAAUUUGGGUUUUGCAAGACAGUGUAGCCUUUACAGAUGCCAUUAGGGUUCUUUUUUGGCGAGUUCUUCUAUGUUUAAGAAAUUCGCGACAAGCAGCAAGUGGUCAUACAUUGAAUUAUGACAUUAGUUUCUUUUUCGGCGAGUUCUUCUAUGUUGAAGAAAUUCACGAAAAGCAGCAAGUUUCUAUAUAAUGAUAGGCCUGCAUAUUCAUGUCGUCCUUGAAGAGAACGCAAUUGUUGAUGUCUACUAUGUGUGAUGCAACAUUGUAGAAGACACGAAGGGCAAGUUCUGAAUCUUCUUAGAGAAUCUAGAACUGAACGAGCCCACCAACAAGAAGUACCUCUUCUACAUGUUAGGUUUGAACCAUAUUUUCUCUUUCUUGAGACUUUAUGUUUGGUUUUUUUAUUUGGAUUUGAUUUUGUUGUUAGAGUCAGACUUUGGAGAUUGUAGUUUGGAGGUGUUCAGAACUGCUGAGAUAUUUGUGAUCUUUUUCAAGUAUCAACAGGUGGAUUGUGAUGAGUGCAAGAGAUUGUGCAGCAAAGGAGUCUCUGGUCAAGGUCAACGGGGGGAGCAUCUUGAAAAAAGAAGGGAUACAUGAACCUAACGGUACAACUACUGCUAUAAAAUAUAAAGUAAAAUGGAAGAGGUUUAUCAUAUCACCCUUGAAAAAUGUUAAACAAUGCAGAAAAUAUCAAGCAUUGUGGCUCCCUAGCGGGUGAAUAUUGUAAGAAGAUUGUACUUCUGCUAGUUUUCAAUUUUUGUCUGAAUGGAAGAAAGAGGAGCUCAAUUUUGUGAUCUUCAUUGCACCAAAUUUUGCUGGCUAUCUACAGUGGCGAACUUUAUUUCGGUCUUUUCCUUGCCAUGAUGAUAGUAGUGUAAAACAAAUAUUUUUAUGGGUCGAAUAUUUAUUUGUACAAGUGUACAUUAGAGCAGGUUUUUUAGAAUGCUCUUGGAUGCUUUGAUAUAAGGCCGAUAACUUCAUGUACUAUUUUUUCCAAUGACUUAUAAUGCAUUCCUAGAGUUUUAUUGUAAUUGAUUUAAUAUAUUAGUUGAUGGUCAUACCUACGGAGAUGGUGUAAGGGAUGUGUUCCCAUAGGUGUGUUUAUCGUUUGGAAUGUUGUACUUAUUGUACUUACACGAACUGCUCAAACAUUUAUGGUGCACUCAAAAACAUUUACUGCA